GCUCCCCUAGUCUAAAGGUAGGGCGUAGGACUUCUAUCUACACAACUGUGGUGAUCCAAAGAUUGCGGGUUCAACCCCCGCGGGGAGUG